rnacentral:rRNA from 1 species
UACGUAGGGCGCAAGCGUUGUCCGGAAUUAUUGGGCGUAAAGAGCUCGUAGGCGGUCUGUUACGUCUGCUGUGAAAACCCAGGGCUUAACCCUGGGCUUGCAGUGGAUACGGGCAGACUAGAGGCAGGUAGGGGAGAAUGGAAUUCCCGGUGUAGCGGUGAAAUGCGCAGAUAUCGGGAGGAACACCGGUGGCGAAGGCGGCGCUCUGGACCGAGACUGACGCUGAGGCGCGAAAGCGUGGGGAGCAAACAGG